UACACACACACAUAUGCAUACAUACAUAUACACUUUUUUUUCUUGUAAAAGCCCUGAGAGAAGGAGAAAGAGAAUCAAACAAAAUGUAUAGAAACAAAUUAGCUGGACAUGCAAACUAAGCUAUGAUUAACCCAGCGUUUCAACAAAUCACAAAUUUCACAGUUUAAUAUUGGGGAGGCGGGCAGCACAACGAACAAAUCAUACAUUUCUCAACCUCACUAAUAAAAUGUGGCAAGACCUUAUUCACUACGAGGGUACAGAUCAAGGCUAAAUAAAGCUUUAAAUCAAUAGUGAUUCUUGUGAGCUGCGGCCCCCCUCCAUGGCUGGGGCUG